rnacentral:rRNA from 1 species
UGAAUACGAGACGCUAAGGCGUCGAAGUAGUGUAUGUCAUACUUCCAAGAAAAGCUUGCACUGUCAUAAAUAAAUAAUGCCUGUACCAUAACCGACACAGGUGGGUAAGUAGAGUAUACUAAGGGGCGCGAGAUAACUCUCUCUAAGGAACUCGGCAAAAUAACUCCGUAACUUCGGGAGAAGGAGUGCCUUAUUCUUAAGGUUGCAAUAACAAGAUCCAAGCAACUGUUUAUCAAAAACACAGGUCUCCGCUAAGUCGUAAGACGAUGUAUGGGGGCUGACGCCUGCCCAGUGCCAGAAGGUUAAAGAAGUCGGUUAGCAAUUGCGAAGCUGGUAACUGAAGCCCUGGUGAACGGCGGCCGUAACUAUAACGGUCCUAAGGUAGCGAAAUUCCUUGUCGGGUAAGUUCCGACCCGCACGAAAGGCGUAAUGAUUUGGAUGCUGUCUCGGAGAGAGGCUCGGUGAAAUAGACUUGUCUGUGAAGAUGCGGACUACCUGCACCAGGACAGAAAGACCCUAUGAAGCUUUACUGUAACUUGAAAUUGAAAUUGGACUUUACUCGCGCAGUAUAGGUGGGAGGCGUUGAUUAUAAUCUCGUGGGAUUAUUGGAGCCAUCAGUGAGAUACCACUCUUGUAAUGUUAGAUUUCUAACUUUGAAUCAUUAUCUGGUCAAAGGACAGUUUCAGGCGGGCAGUUUGACUGGGGCGGUCGCCUCCUAAACGGUAACGGAGGCGUACAAAGGUUUCCUCUGAACGGUUAGAAAUCGUAUCUAGAGUGUAAAGGCAUAAGGAGGCUUGACUGUGAGACCUACAAGUCGAGCAGGGACGAAAGUCGGUCUUAGUGAUCUGACGGUACUGAGUGGAAAGGCCGUCACUCAACGGAUAAAAGUUACUCUAAGGAUAACAGGCUGAUCUCCCCCAAGAGUUCACAUCGACGGGGAGGUUUGGCACCUCGAUGUCGGCUCAUCGCAUCCUGGGGCGGUAGUACGUCCCAAGGGUUGGGCUGUUCGCCCAUGAAAGCGGUACGCGAGCUGGGUUCAGAACGUCGUGAGACGGUUCGGUCCAUAUCCGGUGUAGGCGCUAGAAUAUUGAGAGGAGCCUUCUUUAGUACGAGAGGACCGAGAAGGACAUACCUCUGGUGUACCAGUUAUCGUGCCAACGGUAAACGCUGGGUAGCUAUGUAUGGAGUGGAUAACCGCUGAAAGCAUCUAAGUGGGAAGCCCACCUCAAGAUAAGUAUUCUCAUC